AUUGGAAGAACUCGUAGCGACGAAGAGGGGGUGGCGAUUUGACUUUCCACAACGAUGGGUAAGCUUUUGAUCUCUGCAGAUGCGUGCCUCUCCUUUUUUGAUGUCUUGGAGAAGGAGUCUUUCGAUCUCCUUUGUGGUUGUUGGUUGCUGCAAGGAUUAAGGUUCAUGAGCUUCUCGGGAAGACGAAGGCGGAGCUGCAGAAUCAGUUGAAGGACCUGGAGAUUGAGCUCUCCCUCCUCCGCGUCGCUAAGGUGACCGGUGUGGCGCGCCCAACAAGCUCUCGAAGAUAAAGGAUGCGAGACUGUCAUAGCGCGUGUGCUUACUGUGGUCUCACAGAAGCAGAGAGCUGCGCGGAGGGAGGCUUACAAGAAUAAGAAGCUUCUUCCGUUGGAUCUCCGCCCCAAGAUGACUCGUGCCAUCCGCAACCGGCUCAAAAGCAUCAGUUUCUAGUUUUGUGGAAAGCUUGUCCGUACCUGCCACAUCAUUGUUCUUCACCAUCCUCCCGAUGACCCCAACGAAAAGAUCCAACACUAGUAUUCCUGCAGCUGGUAAAAGUUUAGUGGCUUCCCCAUUGGAGAUUCACUUACAACGUGGCUAAAUUGUAUCCAGUGUAUGAUCAAGUACACACAAUCAGACAGGCUUUCAGCAAGGAUGGAGAUUAGAAGGUCAAAAAUUAGCUUUCUUUCUGAACUUGACCAUGAGACAGGCGUGUUGUACUUCUUUUCGAGUUUUUCAAACAGACCUGUGCCAGUACCACAUUCCAUCAAG